ensembl:snRNA U6 U6 spliceosomal RNA
AUUUGCUAAAACACAAACAAAAUAUCACUGCUGAAUGAUAUAGAGAAGAUUGACAGGGCUCCUGAACAAGAAUGGCAUACAUAUUUGUGAAGAAUUACCUAUUUUU